GUGAAUCAUCAAAUUUUUGAACGCAUAUUGCACUCUCUGGUAUUCCGGAGGGUAUGCCUGUUUGAGGGUAAUUAAAAAGAAUCUUUAACCAAUUUUUUUUGGUCAAAGGAAAUUAGCUCUCCGCGUGUAUAGCGGUGGCUUGAAAUAAAUGUUCAAGUCUCAUUGUAUUCGAGACGCUUAAUAAUAUUAUUUCGAGAAAUCUUCAUUAUGUUACUAUCAAGUUUUGAUGCAUUCAAAUUUGCUUUGUAUUCGGUCAAUACAAAUAUUUUGAACUUUACCUCAAAUCAGGUAGGAUUACCC
rnacentral:misc_RNA from 1 species